rnacentral:rRNA from 1 species
AGACUACCAGCUAAGGUCCCUAAAUCUUACUUAAGUGGAAAACGAUGUGAAGUUACUUAAACAACCAGGAGGUUGGCUUAGAAGCAGCCAUCCUUUAAAGAAAGCGUAAUAGCUCACUGGUCUAGUGAUUUUGCGCGGAAAAUAUAACGGGGCUAAAGUAAGUACCGAAGCUGUAGACUUAGUUUACUAAGUGGUAGGAGAGCGUUCUAUUUGCGUCGAAGGUAUACCGGUAAGGAGUGCUGGAGCGAAUAGAAGUGAGCAUGCAGGCAUGAGUAGCGAUAAUUAAUGUGAGAAUCAUUAACGCCGUAAACCCAAGGUUUCCUACGCGAUGCUCGUCAUCGUAGGGUUAGUCGGGUCCUAAGUCGAGUCCGAAAGGGGUAGACGAUGGCAAAUUGGUUAAUAUUCCAAUACCAACAUUAGUGUGCGAUGGAAGGACGCUUAGGGCUAAGGGGGCUAGCGGAUGGAAGUGCUAGUCUAAGGUCGUAGGAGGUUGUACAGGCAAAUCCGUAUAACAAUACUCCGAGAACUGAAAGGCUUUUUGAAGUCUUCGGAUGGAUAGAAGAACCCCUGAUGCUGUCGAGCCAAGAAAAGUUUCUAAGUUUAGCUAAUGUUGCCCGUACCGUAAACCGACACAGGUGGGUGGGAUGAGUAUUCUAAGGCGCGUGGAAGAACUCUCUUUAAGGAACUCUGCAAAAUAGCACCGUAUCUUCGGUAUAAGGUGUGGUUAGCUUUGUAUUAGGAUUUACUCCGAAAGCAAGGAAACUUACAACAAAGAGUCCCUCCCGACUGUUUACCAAAAACACAGCACUCUGCUAACUCGUAAGAGGAUGUAUAGGGUGUGACGCCUGCCCGGUGCUCGAAGGUUAAUUGAUGGGGUUAGCAUUAGCGAAGCUCUUGAUCGAAGCCCGAGUAAACGGCGGCCGUAACUAUAACGGUCCUAAGGUAGCGAAAUUCCUUGUCGGUUAAAUACCGACCUGCAUGAAUGGCGUAACGAGAUGGGAGCUGUCUCAAAGAGGGAUCCAGUGAAAUUGUAGUGGAGGUGAAAAUUCCUCCUACCCGCGGCAAGACGGAAAGACCCCGUGGACCUUUACUACAGCUUGACACUGCUACUUGGAUAAGAAUGUGCAGGAUAGGUGGGAGGCUUUGAGUAUAUGACGCCAGUUGUAUAUGAGCCAUUGUUGAGAUACCACUCUUUCUUAUUUGGGUAGCUAACCAGCUUGAGUUAUCCUCAAGUGGGACAAUGUCUGGUGGGUAGUUUGACUGGGGCGGUCGCCUCCCAAAUAAUAACGGAGGCUUACAAAGGUUGGCUCAGAACGGUUGGAAAUCGUUCGUAGAGUAUAAAGGUAUAAGCCAGCUUAACUGCAAGACAUACAAGUCAAGCAGAGACGAAAGUCGGUCUUAGUGAUCCGGUGGUUCUGUGUGGAAGGGCCAUCGCUCAAAGGAUAAAAGGUACCCCGGGGAUAACAGGCUGAUCUCCCCCAAGAGCUCACAUCGACGGGGAGGUUUGGCACCUCGAUGUCGGCUCAUCGCAUCCUGGGGCUGGAGCAGGUCCCAAGGGUAUGGCUGUUCGCCAUUUAAAGCGGUACGCGAGCUGGGUUCAGAACGUCGUGAGACAGUUCGGUCCCUAUCUGCCGUGGGCGUAAGAAGAUUGAAGAGAUUUGACCCUAGUACGAGAGGACCGGGUUGAACAAACCACUGGUGUAGCUGUUGUUCUGCCAAGAGCAUCGCAGCGUAGCUAAGUUUGGAAAGGAUAAACGCUGAAAGCAUCUAAGCGUGAAGCCAACUCUAAGAUGAAUCUUCUCUAAGCUCUCUAGAAGACUACUAGUUUGAUAGGCUGGGUGUGUAAUGGAUGAAAGUCCUUUAGCUGACCAGUACUAAUAGAGCGUUUGGCUUAUCUUU